rnacentral:rRNA from 1 species
UACGGAGGGUGCGAGCGUUGUCCGGAAUCAUUGGGCGUAAAGGGCGCGUAGGCGGCUUGGCAAGUGGAUGGUGAAAUCCCUCGGCUUAACCGAGGAACUGCCGUCCAAACUGCUUCGCUUGAGACCGGGAGAGGUGAGUGGAAUUCCCAGUGUAGCGGUGAAAUGCGUAGAUAUCAGGAAGAACACCCGUGGCUAAGGCGGCUCUCUAGUACGGUACUGACGCUGAGACGCGAAAGCGUGGGGAGCGAACAGG